ensembl:scaRNA
AUAUUUUGAGGGGAGAGCAGCCGAGCACAGGACGCCAGCGAGCAGAGCGCACGGUGGACCGAUGCAUGUGGGUCGAUUAUAUGAAUCAACUUGCGAGCAGCCCUUGAGGCUCCCAGGUCUGCGAGCCUCCUGGCUAUACCUGCGUUCUAUUUGAUCAGGGCUAACCCUUGCCCUGCUUUGUUGCUCUGAAAUGAAAAGCUCCCCUCCUGAGAGCCCCGACAUCCUCAGGGCGUUGUGUGGCUAGACUGAGUGGGGGUAGGCUGAGCUCUAGGUUGCUGAGCAGGUCCUGUUGGCCCAGUGGUCAAAAGUACUGUGACUCCAUCAGAUAGACCAGGCCGGGCCUGCCUCCGGGUUGCUGAUUAUCUGGGCGAUUCUGAUCCUA